AGUAACGCGUGAGGAACCUGCCCUUCAGAGGGGGACAACAGUUGGAAACGACUGCUAAUACCGCAUGAUACAUUUGAAUCGCAUGGUUUGAAUGUCAAAGAUUUAUCGCUGAAGGAUGGCCUCGCGUCUGAUUAGCUAGUUGGUGGGGUAACGGCCCACCAAGGCGACGAUCAGUAGCCGGACUGAGAGGUUGGCCGGCCACAUUGGGACUGAGAUACGGCCCAGACUCCUACGGGAGGCAGCAG
rnacentral:rRNA from 1 species